GUGGGGAAUAUUGGACAAUGGGGGGAACCCUGAUCCAGCCAUGCCGCGUGUGUGAAGAAGGCCUUUUGGUUGUAAAGCACUUUAAGCGAGGAGGAGGCUACCGAGAUUAAUACUCUUGGAUAGUGGACGUUACUCGCAGAAUAAGCACCGGCUAACUCUGUGCCAGCAGCCGCGGUAAUACAGAGGGUGCAAGCGUUAAUCGGAUUUACUGGGCGUAAAGCGCGCGUAGGUGGCCAAUUAAGUCAAAUGUGAAAUCCCCGAGCUUAACUUGGGAAUUGCAUUCGAUACUGGUUGGGUAGAGUAUGGGAGAGGAUGGUAGAAUGCCAGGUGUAGCGGUGAAAUGCGUAGAGAUCUGGAGGAAUACCGAUGGCGAAGGCAGCCAUCUGGCCUAAUACUGACACUGAGGUGCGAAAGCAUGGGGAGCAAACAGGAUUAGAAACCCGUGUAGUCC
rnacentral:rRNA from 1 species